rnacentral:rRNA from 1 species
GGUUCUSGCAUCGAUGAAGAACGUAGCGAAAUGGGAUACUUGGUGUGAAUUGCAGAAUCCCGUGAACCAUCGAGUYUUUGAACGCAAGUUGCGCCCGAAGCCAUUAGGCCGAGGGCACGUCUGCCUGGGCGUCAAACAUCG